rnacentral:rRNA from 1 species
AGAACUAACAGGAUUCCCUUAGUAACUGCGAGUGAAGAGGGAAAAGCUCAAAUUUAAAAUCUGGCAGCAUUUUGUUGUCCGAGUUGUAACCUAGAGAAGUGUAACCUGUGCUGGACCGUGUAUAAGUUUCCUGGAAUGGAGCAUCACAGAGGGUGAGAAUCCCGUCUUUGACAUGGACUACCAGUGCAUUGUGGUUGUGCUCUCAACGAGUCGAGUUGUUUGGGAAUGCAGCUCUAAAUGGGUGGUAAAUUCCAUCUAAAGCUAAAUAUUGGCGAGAGACCGAUAGCGAACAAGUACCGUGAGGGAAAGAUGAAAAGAACUUUGGAAAGAGAGUUAAACAGUAUGUGAAAUUGUUGAAAGGGAAACGUUUGAAGUCAGUCGCGUUAGCUGGGGAUCAGCCUGACAUUGUUGGGUGCACUUCCUGGUUGACGGGCCAACAUCAGUUUUGACUGCCAGAAAAAGGCCAAGGGAAUGUGGCACCUUUGGGUGUGUUAUAGCCUUUGGUCAUAUAUGGUGGUUGGGACUGAGGAAUGCAGUGUGCCGAAAGGCCGGGUUUCGACCACGUUCACACUGAGGAUGUUGGCAUAAUGGCUUUAAGCGACCCGUCUUGAAACACGGACCAAGGAGUCUAACAUGCAUGCGAGUGUUUGGGUGGAAAACCCUUACGCGUAAUGAAAGUGAAAGUUGAGAUCCCUGUCAUGGGGAGCAUCGACGCCCGGACCAGAACUUUUGGGACGGAUCUGCGGUAGAGCACGUAUGUUGGGACCCGAAAGAUGGUGAACUAUGCCUGAAUAGGGUGAAGCCAGAGGAAACUCUGGUGGAGGCUCGUAGCGAUUCUGACGUGCAA